rnacentral:ribozyme from 13 species
AGACGGAAAGAAAGAUUCAAGAAGCGAAAGAGAAGAAAAUGAAAAAGAAAAGGCUCACUCAGACUCUUGCUGCUUCUUCUCCCGCAUCUUCCUUUUCUUCCUCUUCCACUUCUUCCUCCUCCA